rnacentral:rRNA from 1 species
AUUGAACGCUGGCGGCAGGCUUAACACAUGCAAGUCGAGCGAGCGGCGGACGGGUGAGUAAUGUCUGGGAAACUGCCUGAUGGAGGGGGAUAACUACUGGAAACGGUAGCUAAUACCGCAUACCAUCAGAUGUGCCCAGAUGGGAUUAGCUAGUAGGUGGGGUAAUGGCUCACCUAGGCGACGAUCCCUAGCUGGUCUGAGAGGAUGACCAGCCACACUGGAACUGAGACACGGUCCAGACUCCUACGGGAGGCAGCAUUGGGGAAUAUUGCACAAUGGGCGCAAGCCUGAUGCAGCCAUGCCGCGUGUGUGAAGAAGGCCUUCGGGUUGUAAAGCACUUUCAGCGAGGAGGCGUUACUCGCAGAAGAAGCACCGGCUAACUCCGUGCCAGCAGCCGCGGUAAUAC